UACGUAGGUGGCAAGCGUUGUCCGGAUUUACUGGGCGUAAAGAGCGCGCAGGCGGCCGAGUAAGUCGAAUGUGAAAGCCCCCCGGCUCAACUGGGGAGGGUCACGCGAUACUGAUCGACUCGAAGGCAGGAGAGGGUAGUGGAAUUCCCGGUGUAGUGGUGAAAUGCGUAGAUAUCGGGAGGAACACCAGUGGCGAAGGCGGCUCUCUGGACGGUGACUGAUGCUGAGACGCGAAAGCGUGGGGAGCAAACAGG
rnacentral:rRNA from 1 species